rnacentral:tRNA from 1 species
ACCGCGAUAGUUCAGCUGGUAGAGCAUCUGCCCGGUAUGCGGAUGGUCGCCGGUUCGAUUCCGGCUCGCGGCG